UCAUAUCUGAAGUGUUUUUAUUGUUUCAUGAUCUAAUGAUUUAGCGCAGAUGUGAAAUAUUUUAGAUUGUUGGUGGAUCUGAACAUACUAUACAUGCAAAACUCACAUUCUCAUAAGAAUCAUAUGGUAUGACUAAGAUUCUAACCUAUGACUUUGCAAGAAAAUGUAUGAGUUAUAAGCUUUCAUAACACAUCUUGUUUAUUUUUUUAUUCAGUGUAAACAUUGGCUUGAUUCUUUGAAUUUUUAUUUUAUUUUAUUUUAUUUUUUUGGUAUCAAGAAACAUCACAAAGGAAGUUGGACCUGUAAGCAUGAUUUUAUUAUUUCCAUUUUUAUGAAAUCAAGUCCCUCUCUUGUUGAGCAUUGUUAUUAGUCAUUGUUUUAUUUAUUUAUUAUUUUUUUUACAUUACUCUGUGUUUCUAUUUACAAUAUGUAAAAUUGCAUCAUAUAAACGGGCAUGGGUUAUGAUUCAGGUAGAGCUAGAUGUGUAACAUUUGGUAGACAUUUAGAUGAUGUGGACUUUUGCUGCAAGCUAGCCAAAGAGGAAUUAAUGGUCAUUCUUCCAGGUGUGAUGAUAUGUGUGUGAAAUCCUAGUAAGAGGGAGCUGAAAAAUGAUUUCAAUUGAAGCAGAUCAGACAAUAGCUUUACAUAGAUAGUAUUCCAUAUGGGUUGGAUGGUGCUUAAUGCAUUGGCCAGUCUUUUAUGUAGGUCGGGUAUAUCUGCAGAGAUAUUAUGGGAUGGUGGUUGGCUUCUACGCUAACUUCUUCCACACAGAAAUGAG